rnacentral:rRNA from 1 species
UGGGGAAUAUUGCACAAUGGGCGCAAGCCUGAUGCAGCCAUGCCGCGUGUGUGAAGAAGGCCUUCGGGUUGUAAAGCACUUUCAGCGGGGAGGAAGGCGAUAAGGUUAAUAACCUUGUCGAUUGACGUUACCCGCAGAAGAAGCACCGGCUAACUCCGUGCCAGCAGCCGCGGUAAUACGGAGGGUGCAAGCGUUAAUCGGAAUUACUGGGCGUAAAGCGCACGCAGGCGGUCUGUCAAGUCGGAUGUGAAAUCCCCGGGCUUAACCUGGGAACUGCAUUCGAAACUGGCAGGCUAGAGUCUUGUAGAGGGGGGUAGAAUUCCAGGUGUAGCGGUGAAAUGCGUAGAGAUCUGGAGGAAUAUCGGUGGCGAAGGCGGCCCCCUGGACAAAGACUGACGCUCAGGUGCGAAAGCGUGGGGAGCAAACAGG